rnacentral:rRNA from 1 species
AACGAACGCUGGCGGCAGGCUUAACACAUGCAAGUCGAACGCCCCGCAAGGGGAGUGGCAGACGGGUGAGUAACGCGUGGGAAUCUACCCAGUUCUACGGAACAACUGAGGGAAACUUCAGCUAAUACCGUAUACGCCCUAAGGGGGAAAGAUUUAUCGGAAUUGGAUGAGCCCGCGUUAGAUUAGCUAGUUGGUGGGGGAACGGCCUACCAAGGCGACGAUCUAUAGCUGGUCUGAGAGGAUGAUCAGUCACACUGGGACUGAGACACGGCCCAGACUCGUACGGGAGGCAGCAGUGGGGAAUAUUGGACAAUGGGCGCAAGCCUGAUCCAGCCAUGCCGCGUGCGUGAUGAAGGCCUUAGGGUUGUAAAGCUCUUUCAGUAGGGACGAUAAUGACGGUACCUACAGAAGAAGCCCCGGCUAACUUCGUGCCAGCCGCCGCUGUAACAC